AGAGUUUGAUCAUGGCUCAGGACGAACGCUGGCGGCGUGCUUAACACAUGCAAGUCGAACGGUAAGGCCCUUCGGGGUACACGAGUGGCGAACGGGUGAGUAACACGUGGGUGAUCUGCCCUGCACUUUGGGAUAAGCCUGGGAAACUGGGUCUAAUACCGAAUAUGACCGCAUCCUGCAUGGGGUGUGGUGGAAAGCUUUUGCGGUGUGGGAUGGGCCCGCGGCCUAUCAGCUUGUUGGUGGGGUGAUGGCCUACCAAGGCGACGACGGGUAGCCGGCCUGAGAGGGCGACCGGCCACACUGGGACUGAGACACGGCCCAGACUCCUACGGGAGGCAGCAGUGGGGAAUAUUGCACAAUGGGCGAAAGCCUGAUGCAGCGACGCCGCGUGAGGGAUGACGGCCUUCGGGUUGUAAACCUCUUUCAGCAGGGACGAAGCGAAAGUGACGGUACCUGCAGAAGAAGCACCGGCCAACUACGUGCCAGCAGCCGCGGUAAUACGUAGGGUGCAAGCGUUGUCCGGAAUUAUUGGGCGUAAAGAGCUCGUAGGCGGUCUGUCACGUCGGCUGUGAAAACCUAGGGCUCAACCCUGGGCCUGCAGCCGAUACGGGCAGACUAGAAUUCGGUAGGGGAGACUGGAAUUCCUGGUGUAGCGGUGAAAUGCGCAGAUAUCAGGAGGAACACCGGUGGCGAAGGCGGGUCUCUGGGCCGAUAUUGACGCUGAGGAGCGAAAGCGUGGGGAGCGAACAGGAUUAGAUACCCUAGUAGUCC
rnacentral:rRNA from 1 species